rnacentral:rRNA from 1 species
UACGUAGGGGGCAAGCGUUGUCCGGAAUCAUUGGGCGUAAAGAGCGUGUAGGCGGUCCGGUAAGUCGGCUGUGAAAGUCCAGGGCUCAACCCUGGGAUGCCGGUCGAUACUGCCGGACUAGAGUUCGGAAGAGGCGAGUGGAAUUCCCGGUGUAGCGGUGAAAUGCACAGAUAUCAGGAGGAACACCAAUUGCGAAGGCAGCUCGCUGGGACGUUACUGACGCCGAGACGCGAAAGCGUGGGGAGCAAACAGG